AAUCAACGCUGGCGGCGUGCCUAACGCAUGCAAGUCGAGCGGGAAAGGGGGCUUCGGCCCCUGAGUAUAGCGGCGGACGGGUGAGUAACACGUGGGUAAUUUGCCCUUGGGUGUGGAAUAACUCAGGGAAACUUGAGCUAAUACCGCAUGACAUCCUUUUCUCACAGGAGUAGAGGAUCAAAGCCGGGGACCCUUCGGGGCCUGGCGCCUGAGGAGAAGCCCGCGUCCGAUUAGCUAGNGGUGAGGUAAUGGCUCACCAAGGCUACGAUCGGUAGCCGGCCUGAGAGGGCGGACGGCCACACUGGGACUGAGACACGGCCCAGACUCCUACGGGAGGCAGCAGUGGGGAAUAUUGGACAAUGGGCGCAAGCCUGAUCCAGCGAUGCCGCGUGUGUGAAGAAGGCCUGCGGGUUGUAAAGC
rnacentral:rRNA from 1 species